rnacentral:tRNA from 1 species
AUUUAAAUAGUUUAAAUAAAAUAUUGAUUUGUGGGGUCAAAGAUAUAAUGUAUAUUUUAAAUA